ensembl:snRNA U4 U4 spliceosomal RNA
AGCUUUGCACAGUGACAGUAUCGUAGCCAAUAAGGUUUAUCCGAGGCACGAUUAUUGCUAAUUGAAAGCUUUUCCACUGGUAGAUGAAUGGAUGAAAUGCGAUGUAUGCCAACAAUAAAAUAUUAUUCACUCUGGAAAAAGA